rnacentral:tRNA from 1 species
UAGCUUAAUGGUAAAGUUCCAGCCUUCCAAGCUGGCCAUGCGGGUUCGAUUCCCGUUGCCCGCUAAUUCCA